CGGCAUUCCACGUGGCGUCCGGGAAGGAGUGGGAAAGAUGUCCACAAAGUUUUUCACAAAAAGCUCGAUUUUCAAGAGUAAUAAAGCAUAUUUCUGCAAAACGAUCUAACGAGUAUCUUCGAUCAAAGGCCAGAGAAAAGUUGUCUAGUCGUGAACACUAUGGCGUCCCAUGGAGAAAGAACAUCAGUCCUAUUUGUCCAAUGGACCAAAAAUAUACGUUGACGCCGUCCAUAGCCUACCUUGCCUCCUCGUCCAACUCCAUCCACGAAUCGCAACCCGAUUUCUAUGUUGUAAAACCAAUCGUUUUUCAUCUGUAUUCAUUUUCAC